UGGAAGCUUCACAAACAUAACAGAAGAUUAAUAUUAGUUCUUUACUAAUUCUAUAUUAAGGACUAUUUGUGUAACUUUUGAAAUGCUGAACUUAGAUUUCGUAUUGUUAUUUUGCUUUACUUUUCCAAUGCUUAACUUGGAUUAUGUAUUGUAAUUUUGUUUAAAUUGGAUUAUGUAACUUUUCAAUUUUAAAGUCAUGUUAUAUUUGCUGCAAUUGGACUAAAGUCAUGUUAUUUUAACUGUAAUUAAAGAAUCCGAAGGUUUAACUCUCGGACUAGUCCAGAACAUCAACCUCUGGACUGGUAUGGAGGUUUAAGUCCCGGAGGAUAUUCCCGGCAUUUUUUUAAAAAGACUAGGGUGGCAAUUCUAAACCCAGGGGUGGGAAAUCUAAUUCCUCUCUUUCUCUCGCACUCUCAGAAUUUCACGCCCCUCACAUCUCAUUAGGUCUAGCCGUCAAGCGUGUGCGAGCAGUCGAGCACCACCGGCCGGCGGCCACCAGCCCACUUUGCAGAGUUGAUGUUUUAAAGAGAAAUGUGUUUACACUUUGCAGAUGUGUUUUUGUUCAUAACAUCAAAACUCUCUGAUUUGAUUUCGAUUUUGGUUCCUGUGUAUAGAUCUGGAAUUUUGAUUAUCUCUGUUUCUGGUUUCACGUUGUUUGUGUUGCAGGUAAGGUAAGGAAUGGCGGGAAAAGGAGGCAAAGGGCUUCUGGCUGCGAAAACCACCAAGGACAAAGCUAAGGAAAGCGAUAAGAAGAGGCCUGUGUCUCGCUCAUCCCGUGCUGGGAUUCAGGCAUGAGUCACACUUGGCAGAGCACAGCUGAAUUUCGGUGAGCCGGAUAAUGCAAUUGAAAGCUUUGACAGAGCGUUAGCUCUAUUCAGCAUUGAGUUUAGUUACUUGGAAUAGUUAGUGAAAUAAUUAGCCAAAGAAAGAGGGAUAACAUGCUAUGAAUAAUGGCAAGAAAUUUAUAGUGAUUGCUUUUGUAGAAAUUGGGAAGGGGAGUCAUGGUCUCUCAAAUACCUGGGUGAGGGACAGAAUUUUCUGUGCUGCUCGUGUUCUUAUCUCUGUUUUGUAUCAGAUUGAUAGUUUGCUUUUUGUACAGUACCUAGAUUUUGUAUGAAUUUUCCUCUUGAUUGCCGAAGUGUUUGACCCCUGUUAGCUAA